rnacentral:rRNA from 1 species
AUUGAACGCUGGCGGCAGGCCUAACACAUGCAAGUCGAACGAGUGGCGGACGGGUGAGUAAUGCCUGGGAAUCUGCCCGAUGGAGGGGGAUAACUACGGGAAACUGUAGCUAAUACCGCGUACCAUCGGAUGUGCCCAAAUGGGAUUAGGUAGUAGGUGAGGUAAAGGCGCACCAAGGCGACGAUCCCUAGCUGGUCUGCGAGGAUGACCCGCCACACGGGGACUGAGACACGGUCCGGCCUCCUACGGGAGGCAGCAGUGGGGAAUAUUGCACAAGGGGGGCAACCCUGCUGACGCCAUGCCGCGUGGAUGAAGAAGGCCUUCGGGUUGUAAAGUUCUUUCGGUGACGAGGCGUUACCCGCAGAAGAAGCACCGGCUAACUCCGUGCCAGCAGCCGCGGUAAUUC